GGGGCGCCUGUGGGAGCCGUGGAGGGAACUUUCCCAGUCCCCGAGGCGGAUCCGGUGUUGCAUCCUUGGAGCGAGCUGAGAGCUCGAGUACAGAACCUGCUAAGGCCAUCAAACCUAUUGAUCGGAAGUCAGUCCAUCAGAUUUGCUCUGGGCCGGUGGUACCGAGUCUAAGCACUGCGGUGAAGGAGUUAGUAGAAAACAGUCUGGAUGCUGGUGCCACUAAUAUUGUGAUGUCACCAUUUCUACCUGCCAUGUAUCGGCGAAGGUUGGGACUCGACUGGUGUUUGAUCACUAUGGGAAAAUCAUCCAGAAAACCCCCUACCCCCACCCCAGAGGGAUGACAGUCAGUGUGAAGCAGUUAUUUUCUACGCUACCUGUGCACCAUAAAGAAUUUCAAAGGAAUAUUAAGAAGUGAGUGAGCGCUCAUGGGAUCUGGUUGUUUAGAAGCAUGCACCACCUCCCGCUUCACUCUCUCUGUCUCUCCUGCUCCACCAUGGCCAGAAACGUGCCUGCUUCCCCUUCGCCUUCUGCCGUGAUUGUCAGUUUCCUGAGGCCUCCCCAGCCAUGCUUCCUGUACAGCCUGCAGAACUGUGAGUCAAUUAAACCUGUUUUCUUCAUAAA
rnacentral:lncRNA from 1 species